rnacentral:rRNA from 1 species
AACGAACGCUGGCGGCAUGCCUAACACAUGCAAGUCGAACGAAGCCUUCGGGCUUAGUGGCGCACGGGUGCGUAACACGUGGGAAUCUGCCCUUCGGUUCGGAAUAACAGUUAGAAAUGACUGCUAAUACCGGAUGAUGACGAAAGUCCAAAGAUUUAUCGCCGAAGGAUGAGCCCGCGUAGGAUUAGGUAGUUGGUAGGGUAAUGGCCUACCAAGCCGACGAUCCUUAGCUGGUCUGAGAGGAUGAUCAGCCACACUGGGACUGAGACACGGCCCAGACUCCUACGGGAGGCAGCAGUGGGGAAUAUUGGACAAUGGGCGAAAGCCUGAUCCAGCAAUGCCGCGUGAGUGAUGAAGGCCUUAGGGUUGUAAAGCUCUUUUACCAGGGAUGAUAAUGACAGUACCUGGAGAAUAAGACUCCGGCUAACUCCGUGCCAGCAGCCGCGGUAAU